CUUUGCUCUUUCAAUGAACUGUAGCAGACAAUAGUGAGAGAAACAUCUGAAAAUGCAAGGAAACACAGUUGCAUAUGUGUUUCAUUUCUGCGGGUUAGUCAGAGAAAACAACAAAAGGACAGCUGGAGGGGGGGGGGGGGUGGUGGAUAAAACACACUUACAAAGGGGAUUUUGACCCUGCAAGUGGGGAAGCCGAGUACAUCGAAAAAGACUGCAAAAAGUAAGGAAGAACUGUAGAAAUGAAGCAGAGAAGAGUGUCAGGAAGAACUGUUCAAGAAAAGAAUAAGAAGUUAAGGUCCUGCUAGAUGUUCCCCGGCCUUUUUAAAAAGGAGAUUUAGAAAAAGACAGCUCAAUCUGCAUAAACAAUCUGGGAAGAUGCACCUGCCGAAAGUGUGUGUAUGUUCUGUGCACACACGUGUGUGUUUUUCCAUUUGUACGUUUAUAAUGGGGAGAUCUAGAGCGUACCAACGCUCUAAUUGCAAUCGUGCGUCGAAGGGACACGGUGGAAGGAAAUGAAGAAAUCCUGUGCAGACUCUAUGAAUCUCUGCUGCUGAUUCCCAGUAGCCCCAGGACAUGCUCCUUUCUGCCCCCAAAGAAACACCAUCUCCCUCGCCUGCUGCAUCCCCCUGUUCCGCGUGAAGCCACUGCCUACCUCAGAGCAACAGCUUCACCCGAGCAAAGAGAUUCAUCAGCUCUGGCAGGAGGUCAUCUCCGCGAUCAGAAACGGGCUUUCCAGCAUCAGUGGGUGAUGUUCUGAGACUUUUCUUAUGUCAAUAGCAGAGCUGAGAGGAUGCCUCACUUUUCCAUCUGAAUUUGUAGCAUUACUGGAGCACAGCCGGGCAGCAGCCAUCUCAGGACAAAAGUUUGAUUUCCGUCAUGCCCCAUGGAGGCAUCAUAGAGAAUGGUGAGGUUUGAAGAAAGAUAAUGAAAUAGCUCAGGACUGUUUAUGUAAACCUUCCCGGAAAUCUGUGAGGUAGGAAGAGAGAAAGCACCAAGGUGCCUCUUACUAGUAUAACAAAUCGUGUUGCCAUUCUCAGUUGCCUGGGACUGGUGCUUUCAGCUCUUCUGUGCUGGCUGUAAAAUGAACUGACUUCUGCAGUCAGCAUUUACAGACAUGUUUCUAUAUACUGGUACUGAAAAAAUCUUUUGCAGAAUGACUUGCCUAGCCAAUAAAUCUUGCUUUCUAUUUCUUCUUCUUCUUCUUCUUCUUCUUUUUUUUUUUUUUAAUGUAACAUUAUAUUAGACCAUCAAGUGUUAAAAUCAUCCUUUUUCACAAAACUUAUAAAUGGCUUCCUUACUGUAACAUCCCUGAAAGCACCCCGCUAUCUCAUUUUCUAAAUCCUUCUGUAAUAUUUUGUCUGGUUUUAUAGAUCAUUAUUUUGAGCCUGAAUAUUUAUUUGUGGAAAGAGAAUAAAUUUUGAUAGGAAUGCUGUAGGAUCAGUUUUUUGAUCUUUGUAGCACAGUUUUAAGCAGGUAAGAUCUACUUAAUGUUAUAGAGGUCAAAAUUGAAAUUGCUGAUUCUGGGAAUAGAGAAGAAACUCCCCCUUUCAGUGCUUUAAUUUCUCUAAGAAACCAACCAUAAAUAAAUAAAAAGAAUGUGGAAAUAAAACUUUUUGUUGUUGUUAUUAUUACUGUUUUAUUAAAAGGGCAGAAUAGCAGUACCAUGUCAUUACUUCUUUCUCUUAUGUCUCUGUCUUUUUCUCACCCCAACAUAUGCUAUGGGGCAGAAAUCUUUUUUGUCAUUUAUACUGGUAAUGUAACUAAUUCACCUACGCAUGCUGUGCUGAUCUCAUAACAUACCAUUUUAUCUCACACGUUAC
ensembl:lncRNA